CAAAUGAGCGAGCAAAGAUGAGCAUAUAUGCAGAUUGAUCUCUAAAAGUGUUUUAUUUUUCUUCUUCUCACUAACAUUUAGAUAUUUAAAUCGAAUGAAAACCCAUGCAACAACAUAAAGAACUAGUAUAUAUGUAGAACCAUAUAUCGCCGUCAGUUUCUACUACAGUUAAAGGAACACUCCACUUUUUUUUGAAAAUAGGCUCAUUUUCCAACUCCCCUAGAGUUAAACAGUUGAGUUUUACCGUUUUCGAAUCCAUUCAGCCGAUCUCCGGGUCUGGCGGUACCACUUUUAGCAUAGCUUAGCAUAGUUCAUUGAAUCUGAUUAGACCGUUAGCAUCUCGCUCAAAAAUGACCAAAGAGUUUCGAUAUUUUUCCUAUUUAAAACUUGACUCUUCUGUAGUUACAUCGUGUACUAAGCAAAGUUCCUUGAUUAUUAUGCCGGAAUGAGAGUAUAAUUCCUAGCCAUAUCAGCCUAGAAAAUCGCAACUUUUCAUUUUCCGUCGGUCUUAGUACACGAUGUAACUACAGAAGAGUCAAGUUUUAAAUAGGAAAAAUAUUGAAACUCUUUGGUCAUUUUUGAGCGAGAUGCUAACGGUCUAAUCAGAUUCAAUGAACUAUGCUAAGCUAUGCUAAAAGUGGUACCGCCAGACCCGGAGAUCGGCUGAAUGGAUUCGAAAACGGUAAAACUCAACUGUUUAACUCUAGGGGAGUUGGAGCCUAUUUUCAAAAAAAGUGGAGUGUUCCUUUAACACUUUCUCUGACAGGCGGAUGCAAUGUGACGUUCGGCAUAAAGCUUAUAUGGAUUAUUAACUACAGGUCAAAACGACACACUGACUGCAAUAUUGUAUAAUUUGUAGAAGCAAAAACAUAUUUAGUUACUUCACAGAAGUAAAAUGACACUAUGGGUCUGAUCAUUGUGCUGUAAGAGUUAGAUAUUUAUACCUAUGGCCACAAUAAUACAGGCAUGAUAUUAAUAGCCAGAACAUAUUAUCUUACUUUCAGAUAUUUUUACCCUGAAAUGUGAUGAAAUAAAUGUAGGGGCUCAGUAACUUGAAAAGUACAUCAUUAUUUUUCUAAAUCAAUUAAUUACUCAAUUAUUUAAAUCAGUUAACUUUCCUUUCCAAUGAGAAUGAAACACACUCUGCAAUCUUCAAAGAUUGUUUCAUGCAGCAGAAAAGUUGUACUUGUAGAGUAUCACUCCAUCAUUUGUUGUUUGCUUCUAGGUCAUGCUUUCAUUUUCUUACUAGAAUGCACUUUGAAAUCUGUUUAAAGACAACAAUGUCGCCACCGUGAUUUAUGGCUUGAUUUGAAGCAGGAAGGGGGGAGUCAGUGUGACAUCAGAGAUUACCCAUAAGUCCAUUUCCAGAAACAUUAUGCAGUCUAGAACCUGAUGGAGAUAUGAUGAUGUCACGGGAAUAAACCAUAAACUUUACAUUGUAAUAAAAUAUUUAAAAAAAUAAACAUUUCAUGUCAUUUUUAAUGAGAAAAAUGUUUUCUACUGGAUAUUACAACAUUGUCUUUGCAUUAAUGUCUUGGAUCGUAAAUGAAUUUGCAUAUUUAAUUACUAUGCACAAAUACACUAUACACGAAACAAUAAUUGAUGUAAUUAAACAUUUGAGUUUUUUAUGUUGCUUAAAAUGAUGUUACAUCAACCAGCAGGGACUAAAUGUCUCAUGCCAAACAUUUACUCCUUGAGUUGUGGGCGGGGCUACAUGUUUGUCUGACCAAUAAGCAGAAGGGGGAGUGUUUGAGAAACCUGUUUGGUAAGAGUCAUUGCAGUUCCAUUAAUGGUGCAGAAAUAAAACACCGCACCUUUAUAUAAUUUAUAAAACUAAUCUGUAUAUUUCUUUCCCACCAUCACCCUUUGGGGAGAGAAGUCUUUAAUGUUUGCAGUCUGUUUGAUAUCCCGCUUCUGUUUCUUUCCGCAGCAUUGCGUUGACUAGCUAGUUAAUUGAGAGCCUCCCGAGACCCCUGCUAGUUUGAGAAGAACCAAAUGAAAUGGGAUUGUUGUCUUGGGAACAACAGAGGAGAUGGGAAGACCCCGGGGGAGAAGCAUUGAAGAGCGGAGGCCAGGCAGGCCAUGACAGGUAAACAACAGUGGUCCCCCCUCUCUCAACCUCUCUUGGGCUGAUCCUGUCCAGUAACUAUUGGGGUGAAACUAAGGAAGGGGCAAAUGGGAUGUUUUAAAUGUGGAGUUGAAAGGGCAGUGCAUUGGAACCUGGUAAACAGACUGUGAAAGUCUUCUAAAUCCACUUUCCAAAUGUUUUUUCCCUUUUUAAAGACUUGUUUUUAUUUCCUUUAAGGUAAUGCACCACUGGUGAAUAGGGUAAAAAUGUACCUAAUCACCAUACUUUUCUUCAGGUGAUUAAUCACAGUACAUUAAGACAACUGUUUUGUAUUACAAGUUUUCUAAAAUGUUAUGUUUAAUAUGCAAACUAUACAUUAUCUAAUUAACUUAAAUUUUUCAUAAUUGUCCAGAACAGAAAUCUGAACACUGCAUAAAGCCAGGUUCAAAAUUAAUUUAAUUUUGUUGACAUAUUAGAGAUUUUGAAUGUCUCUUUUUAUCACUUCAACCAAAAAACAAACCUUUUAUUGUUUGUAAUUGAAGAUGCAAAUAGAUAAAGUGUAAUAAAAUACAAACUUAAAUGUGUAUUUUGGGUGUUUUCUUCCCACUUGUCUCAAAAAGAGACUGGUUAUGGAGCGCAAAAUAGACCAAAAUCUCAAAAUUGACUAGUGCAUGACAAAAAAAAACAAUGGUUUUGCCUGUCACCUUAAUAUAUCUAAUAUAGACAAGAGCUUUGUAUUCUUCUCAUAUUCUCUCAAAAACCUAAUUGGAAAUGUUCUAUACUGUUAAUUUUAUGCAAAAGCUUGAUUAGAGCCUUGGGCUCUCAUCACACAGGUCAAUUAAUAGGAAGUCAAUGCAUGUUAACACAAUGCAUGUUUUUCAAUGUCAUUUGCCUUGAUUUCAAGGUGUCUCCCAUGUCUUCUGACCUCCACCAAGUGAAACGCUGAACCUUAACCCCCAGUAACAGAGAUUCCCUGUUGGAUUUGUGUUCCACAACAGGAUGAAUCCUUGUUACUGAGAGCAAGAGGUCAGAUGUUCUGCUGGACCUCUGAAGACAACAGUGCCACUCGCCGCCAUUCUGAAAACAACACAAGAAAACAUUACAUUAAUCGUAUAUAUAGGGAUGAAGCACGACGUGCAUCAUUAAAGCCUCUGUGUCGGUAUGCGGCGGUCGUCCCUUGUGACACAGUCGAUGGCAGCUAACAAAGCGGGGUUAAACAGAUUGAGUAAAGUGUCUGCCUCUCGACGCCUGAUUGUUUGACCUUAACUCCUGUUGUUCUCCCAACCCCCUGUGUUUCUGUGUUUGGGGAAGGAAACUUAAAUCAGCAAUUAACAUAAAUAAUUAACUACUCCCUGGGAUUAAUUAUUAAUGUGUCGGAGGAGUGAUUGCUCCCGCUUAAGACAGAGAUAACACCUCUAGAGCCCAGAAAAACUCAUGACAUACUUUGUUGGCACUUCCAACUUUUAGUUUGAGAACUCGUUCCCUUUUAAGGAUGCUUUAUUCUGCCCAAAGGAAAGCAAAUUCUUUAGCGUUACUUUAUUAUUAUUUAUAUACUAUUAUAGUAAUAUUUUGGAUGAGCUUCUAUUUUUAUGUUUUGAUUUUAAUUUAAAUUUUGGUAAUUUUGUUAUGUGCUUUGUCAUUUUUAUUUAUUUCUUUUUUUAAAUAUUUCUAUUCACCUUUAGUUUUCAUUUUUAAUGUUUAUUUAAUUAUUUUUAUUACUUUAAACAUAUUCCUGAAUUUUUUUCAGUUAGUUGCCAGUGCAACAUUUCUAAUUUCUGUUUACGUUUUUCAUCUAAUAUUAAUCUAAUUAUUUCAAUAGUUAAUAGUUUUAGUUAAUAAUAACACUGGUCCUACACUAAAAAAUGCUGGGUUGAAAAUGGACAAACCGGUUGGGUUGGGUUGGGUUGUUUUGACCCAGCGGUUGGGUUAAAUGUUUGCCUAACAUGCUGGGUAGUUUUAUUUAACUCAGCUACUAAAUGACUAUAUGGCUGGCUUAAAAUGAACCCAAAAUGAACCCAAAAUGUUGGAAAAUAAAAAUCAGACACAUAAUUACUAGAGGAAACAAUAAUAAUCAAAAGGUGAACAUUUAUUAAUAAUAAAUGUUUUUGUUUAAUUAUUAUUUAUUAAACUUAUUAAUAAAUGUUCAUUUCCAACAUACUUUGGGUUCAUUUUAAGCAAGCAAUACAGUAAUUUUUAAACAAUAGUUGAGUUAAAUAAACUACCCAGCAGGUUGGGCAAACAUUUAACCCAACCGCUGGGUUAAAACAACCCAGUCACUGGGUUUGUCCAUUUCCAAACCAACUUGAAUUGUUUUUAACCCAGCAUUUUUUAGGGUGUAGACAUUAAUGCGAUUAAAUGGAGACUUUUGCAUCCAAUGUUUUUCUUUUGCAUGAAAUAUUGUUUGUCUACAGAGUUUCAACAACAUUGUGAUGCUCAGAUCUCAUUAUGAACUCCAUCUUUUCUUAUCAAGUUCUUCCAAGAGCAAGUGGUCAGAGCUGAUGUCCAUUUUAAUUUUAUAGCUCAAAACUCUUACUGUAUGACUAUUUUUAUUCCCCCAGAAUAAACAUAACUGGUAGUUUUUGGUCUCCAUUUGCUCUCCAUUUAAUCUCAUUGCUGUAUAGAACAAAGUUAUUGAGACGUUGAAGAGGUCUCAUUUACUCUCUGCAUUUUCUUUCGCUAGUCUUGAAUUCUUGUCCUCUUGUCUGUAAUUCUGUCUUUACACCUUUAUCUACUCUGAUGCCCCUUUCUCUGUUUGUGUACUGUAUCAUGUUGCCGAGACUCGGCUCGUUAAUUGCUCGGUAAUUACAAUGCUUCUGUUGAUCUGUUCAUUUCACAGCGCUGCUACAAACCUUUUAGGCUGUCUGCUCGAAGCUCAGACUCUAUUGGAUUUGGCUCAUGUGCCCCGUCUAACGCUUUGAGAGCUGCACUAAUGUGCUGUCAGCCGUUCCACAUGCACUUCCUCUGUCGUGAUGCGCUCUCCUGCUGGACAACUGUUGCGUCCGCCUAAUUUGACCAGGACCCAGACGAGGGCUCCGACGCAAGUAACUGAGCACCUGCUGGUAUCAUCCUCGUCUUCAAUGUUAGCCACAGCCUCUGGACUCCAAACUCUGAACACUGCUUAUCUUUACAGCUGCUAAUACUGGCUGAGGAAUCCAGUGAUGGGACCAGCCUGUGUUAACCAUUAACACCCCAACUUGCACCUUUUUCAUCCUGGUGGUGUAUAGCAUGACCUAGAUGAGGAGAACGAAGGAGAAGAAGAGGAAAUUGGACGGAUCAGGUCAAGAUGAGAGCCAGAUUUGAGUCGUUUGUAAAGGCACUAGAAAGAGAAGAAAUGGGAUUAGAACAUCAUGCAAGCCAGAUUCGAACUCAUGUUCCCAAGAGCACCUGCAUGACCCACUGCACCACAGCUCAAAACAUCAGGAAUGGAUGAAUUGUGUGCUACUGUGGGCAGUUCGACCACAACCACAAGCAUUUUCUGUGAGCCAAUCAAUGUGGAGAAGAAAGAAGAGCCGCCUCCUUCUGCCAAUGACAAGAUGGGCGGCAGUGACCAGUGCCAAGCCAAUAGGGAAUCGAUACAACGCAAAACCUGACAUCAAUCCCAGAAAACCUGCAAGAUGAUCAGACGCACAGAGAGGAACACACACUCCAUCAUCGUCUUAAUAGUCUUACUGGAGGUCAGUAAGUUUUAUCGUAGCCCAGCUUUCCGCAUCACACAUGUCCCUUCUAACUCAACGUGGACCAUUGGAGGGUCAUAUAUACUAAUGUUCUGUUGCCCAGAAAGUGCUUUUUAAA